GAAGGUAUAGCUCAAUGGUAGAGUGUGUGCUUAGCAUGCACAAGGUCUUGGGUUCAAUCCCUAGUACCUCUG
rnacentral:tRNA from 1 species